GACGAAGGGGGCUAGCGUUGUUCGGAAUUACUGGGCGUAAAGCGUGUGUAGGUGGUUGUCAUAGUCAGGUGUGAAAGCCUUGAGCUCAACUCAAGAAAUGCACUUGAUACUGGGCAGCUAGAGGACCGGAGAGGAUAGUGGAAUUCCCAGUGUAGUGGUGAAAUACGUAGAGAUUGGGAAGAACACCAGUGGCGAAGGCGGCUAUCUGGACGGUUUCUGACACUAAGACACGAAAGCGUGGGGAGCAAACAGG
rnacentral:rRNA from 2 species